rnacentral:rRNA from 1 species
GAUGAACGCUAGCGGCAGGCUUAAUACAUGCAAGUCGAACGGUAAGUUUGGUAGCAAUAUCAAACCAAGAGUGACGUACGGGUGCGUAACACGUAUGCAACCUACCUUGUACAGGAGUAUAGCUCGGGGAAACUCGAAUUAACCCUCCAUGAGAUCAUAGAAUGGCAUCAUUUAGUGAUUAAAACUCAGGUGGUACAAGAUGGGCAUGCGUCUGAUUAGAGUUGGCGGGGUAAUGGCCCACCAAGACGAUGAUCAGUAGGGGACCUGAGAGGGUGAUCCCCCACAC